CCCUUAGAUGUUCUGGGCCGCACGCGCGCUACACUGAUGCAUUCAACAAGCCUAGCCUUGACCGAGAGGUCCGGGUAAUCUUUGAAACUGCAUCGUGAUGGGGCUAGAUUAUUGCAAUUAUUAAUCUUCAACGAGGAAUGCCUAGUAAGCGUGAUUCAUCAAAUCUCGUUGAUUACGUCCCUGCCCUUUGUACACACCGCCCGUCGCUCCUACCGAUUGAAUGUGUUGGUGAGGAGCUCGGAUUGGCAGCAGUUGGUGGUUCGCCACCGGCUAUUGCUGAGAAGUCCUCCAAACCGCCCCAUUUAGAGGAAGGAGAAGUCGUAACA
rnacentral:rRNA from 1 species